CAGCAGUUUCCAACGGAGUUCGGCAUGCUAACCCCGGCUACGUCUGCACUGUUUCAUCCAGGAUCCAAGAAAACUGAAGGACAGCGUAAAGACGAUUUACACCAAGUAUCUCCAGCAGUCUGAUGAGGUGGAGAAAAGUGGUCUAGACGAUGAUAUUCAGAAGGCGUUUUGCAACCAGCGUGAUCACCUGGAGAAGACUGUUGCUAGUCUUAAGAGGAGGCUGGCCUUAUCUGCUGAAGAGCACGACAAAGUCUACGUCAAAAUAAUGAAGGAGAACGCAACUCUGAUCACUGAAAUCAACGAACUGCGAAAGGAGCUGCAUUUGCUGAGGACUCAGAUUAAAGAUUACAAAGCUCAGCUGACCAUCGUGAAGAAGAAGUCACAUCCCAAUUCAGAGGAAGGACCCCAAAAGGAGCCAAAACUGCAAGACGUUCGCUGACCACAACCUCCAUCAGCAGAUUUAUUUCUUUAAAUUAUAGAUAGAAUGACACUCAAUUCAUUUAAACUCACUUUAUUAAAGAUACGCUUGCAUGCAAA